CGCGAGGAGGGGCAGCGGGAGAGGGUCGGUGUUCCACGGCGAGCCCGCUGAGGCCGCAGCUCCGCUGGGCGCGACCGCAUCGCAUUGCCCGGCAGCCCGCAGGUGACGGGGAGGGGAAGCUCGCCCCAAAUCUAUCCCGGGAUCCCCGGAAUUCCCAUUGCCAGACUUUGGCUGGAUGGAGGAAGAGAAGGCUUUGAGGAGGAGGAAGUUGUCACGGGACCCCUAGGCAGACAAGGAGCCCAGGGAGGACAAAUCUCCUCAGCAGAACCUCGUGGAAGAGGCUGUUUUGAGCGGCUCCAUGGCACAGGAAUGCAACGGGGAGGAAAAGCCGCGGAGAUCCCGCCCGAGGAGGGGCUCCAAACCCAUGCCAGGGUGCUCCGAGGAGGAAGGACCCACCCUGUGCCAGGAAGGCAGCCAGAGAUGUGGCCAGAGCUCUGAGCUGCUGGUGCAUGAACAGCUUCACAAUGGCAAGAAGCUGCACCAGUGCUUGGAAUGUGGGAGGAGUUUCUGUGCAAACCGCAGCCUGCUCCAGCACCAGAAGAUCCACACUGGGGAACGGCGCUGUGAGUGUGGGAAAUGUGGGAAGCGCUUCAGAGACACCUCUGACCUGAUGAUCCACCAGAGAGUCCACACUGGGGAACGGCCCUAUGAGUGUGGGGAGUGUUGGAAGAGCUUCACUACGAGCUCCAGACUGAUUGUCCACCAGAGGAUCCACACUGGGGAACGGCCCUAUGAGUGUGGGGAAUGUGGGAAGAGCUUCACUAAGAACUCCACUUUAUACAAGCACAGGAGGAUCCACACUGUUGAACGGCCCUAGAAAUGUGGAGAAUGUGGGAAAGGCUUCAUGAAGAGCUCCCACCUCAAACACCACCAGAUGCUGUGCACUGGAAUCUGACCCUGUGUGUGUGGGGAGAGCGGGAACAGCUUCUGUGACAGCUCUGGCCUGAUCAUGCAGCAGACAGUGCACACUGGGGAAUGCCCCUACACGUGCUCAGAAUGUGGGAAGAGCUUCAUCCAGCACUCCAAGCUGUUUGUCCACCGGCAGAUGCACAGCGGAGAGAGGCCCUAACAGUGUCCUGAGUGUGGGAAGAGCUUGUCCCAGAGCUGUGCCGUGACCCAAGAGCAAUGGAGGCAGCAGGAAGGGAAGCCCUACAAGUGCCCCGCGUGCGGGAAGAGCUUUGUGCGCUGCUCCAACUUCAUCCCCCGUUGGAGGAGCCCAUUGGAUGAUCCCCAGUGAGCCGUGUUGGGCAGAGCCUUGGGGAUCCACGGUCCUGGUGAUCCAUGGUGGGAAGACAGCUGGCUGGUGGUCUCCACAUCUUCCUGGGCCCCUGGGGGCACCUGGGCGCAGCAGGACAAAAUUCUCUUGGGAUGCAGACCAGCGUCAGGAAUUCAUUAGGGAUAGUGAAUUUUUUUACUUUUGACCUGAAGAAAUCCCACCUUUUGCAUCCUAUUGUUUCUUCUCUAAGCAUCAAGGAAUACUGGGAUGUCUUAAGAGUCUUUUCCAACCUAAAUCAUUCCAUGAUUCUAAUUCUUUCUGACCCUUCCACAGGCGUCUUCCAGAGCCAAAUGGUGACUGAGUGGGACAAAAAAUGAAGAUUUUGGAGACAAUGGAGUGGAAACUCCUCUAAGAAGGGUUCUUUCCAGCCACCCAAGCACGUGGAUACUCAGCCAGCAUGGACACAUAAAUCCUUUUAUUUUGGCCUUGAUUUUCUUUCGUUGUUCAUUGUUCAUUGUUCAUUGUUCAUUGUUCAUUGUUCAUUGUUCAUUGUUCAUUGUUCGUUGUUCAUUGUUCUUCAUCCUUUCACCCAACACUGGGGUAAAAAUAAAAACCUUGAUCUAAGACACAGUUGGAGAUAUUGUGG